UUGUUUUAGUUUUCAUGCCUUCUUAGGCAUAAAUUUAAGAUUUGUUCUCGAAAUUUAGGCUCGGCAUGAAAAGUUGGAUACUCAUCUGUUGUGGACGGUUUAUUUUAGGCACUUUCACUUGUCGCUCACACC